CACAUUCGCUAGGGGUGUUGAGACCAUUGCCGGUCUCGACUGAGAAAGUCCCUUUGAACCUGAUUGAGGUAAUCCUCGCGCAGGGAAGCUGGCCAUAGAAACG
rnacentral:ncRNA from 2 species